UACGAAGGGGGCUAGCGUUGCUCGGAAUCACUGGGCGUAAAGGGUGCGUAGGCGGGUUUUUAAGUCAGGGGUGAAAUCCUGGAGCUCAACUCCAGAACUGCCUUUGAUACUGAGAAUCUUGAGUACGGGAGAGGUGAGUGGAACUGCGAGUGUAGAGGUGAAAUUCGUAGAUAUUCGCAAGAACACCAGUGGCGAAGGCGGCUCACUGGCCCGUAACUGACGCUGAGGCGCGAAAGCUAGGGGAGCAAACAGG
rnacentral:rRNA from 1 species